rnacentral:lncRNA from 1 species
CGAACAUGGUGUCCUGUUGCAGACUGUCAGACAGUGUGCCCUGUUGCCUCGAGUGACCCAGGACAGCCUGUGCUGGUGGAAUGCCCUUCUUGCCACCUGAAAUUCUGCUCGUGUUGCAAGGAUGCUUGGCAUGCAGAGGUCUCCUGUAGAGACAGUCAGCCUAUUGUCCUGCCAACAGAGCACCGAGCCCUCUUUGGGACAGAUGCAGAAGCCCCCAUUAAGCAGUGCCCAGUUUGCCGGGUUUAUAUCGAACGCAAUGAAGGCUGCGCUCAGAUGAUGUGCAAAAACUGCAAGCAUACAUUUUGCUGGUACUGCCUCCAGAACUUGGAUAAUGACAUUUUCCUCAGACAUUAUGACAAAGGGCCAUGCAGGAAUAAACUUGGCCACUCAAGAGCAUCAGUGAUGUGGAACCGAACACAGGUGGUGGGGAUUCUCGUAGGCUUGGGCAUCAUUGCCUUGGUUACUUCACCCUUGUUACUCCUGGCCUCCCCAUGUAUAAUCUGUUGUGUCUGCAAGUCCUGUCGGGGCAAGAAGAAAAAGCACGACCCAUCCACAACCUAAAGAUCUCUGUGUUCAUACGCCCCAGAUAUGUGAGUUACAUGAGAUGGCACAGUGAUAAAGCCCCAUUUAGUGACCUUGCCUCCUUCUCCUUGCCAACUUUGAAAGUGCCUCCGUGUCCAGACUUUGAACUUGCCUGCCAGCCUUCAGCAUCAGGAAAGGCCAAGUCCUGGGUGUGAGUGUUCCUGUGUAACAAGAACUGGGCUCAACGGUCCAGCUGUUUCUAUGGAGCUUUGGGGUUCCUUGAGAUGAAUGAACAUAUCAUUUUAUCAUCCAAAGGAUCUCACUGGACUGUUCAACUUCCAGCCAAAUUCAAGGAGCUUGCGGGAACAUUUGAUAUAACAAAUGUGUUGUCAUUGUUGGCAACAUACAAGAUAACCAAGAAGCUGGAGUCUGUUCUGUGUUGAUUUGACUGCCAUGAGAAACACAGGGGAAACCUGAUGAGGAGAAGGAUAAGACUGCGUAAGGAGAAAUCCUCAUAGGAGCUAUAAAGCAGGCUGCUGAUCUCAGCAGUUGAUAUGGUGGUUGUGCCUCUGCUGGCUACUGGGUGUGCUGUCCCCAUGUUCCCGCUGUGAUUUGGCAGAAACACAAUAGGCUUCUCCUUGUGUGAUCUCAGCUUCAAGCAGGUGAAACUGCUGUGCAGAGGGAGUUGCCCCUUCCCAGUAAAAGAGUUGCAGCCUGUUAAACAAUGUGGUCUAAUUUAGUGUCUCUCCCUUGGCAAAUGUAAGUUUUCUAAGUUGGCCAACUUGUCUCUUACAGCCAGUGGCUGUGGUCUACAGAAUUGUUUCAUAUAAAAUACGGGUAGAGUGGUAGAGUUUCAAAACUUUCGUCAUAGAUAUCUGGGACCUUUCUCAGGAUCUGUGUUCACACAGCCAAUAGAUUUGGAAUCAGGCCUAAGAGUACACAUGGAGGGUAAAUAUUAAAGUGCGUAUUAUGUACAUCUAGAAUCCAUGUGACUUGCAGCCUACCUGUAAUUUCUAUCCAUUGAGCAUGCAUGGAUAUACCCAAUAGUACACACAAAAUAAAUGUUUACUUAAGAGCCAUUCUAUCCUUUUGUGACUGAAAUGGUUUAUUGUAAAUCUGCCUAAAGAUUUUUUGCAUAUUAUAUAUGUGAAUUUUGGUUGUAAGUUCAUAACUUACCCAAGGGUAUAGACUCAUAACUCUUUUAAAACAGUGCUUAGUACAAUAUCCUGCCAUCUCUGUAAAAACGCUAAUUGAUAACCGAGUCAUUUACAUGUUUUCGAACACAGAAUAGCUCUUUUCUCAGCAUCAUUAUUGCUCUUUCAGCAUCUGUUAGGACAGUCUGAAUACUUUCUGUUUCAAGGCACUGAUAAAACCGCAACAAAAACAUGUAAG